UACAGAGGUCUCAAGCGUUGUUCGGAUUCAUUGGGCGUAAAGGGCGCGUAGGCGGCGGGGUAAGUCGGGUGUGAAAUCUCAGAGCUCAACUCUGAAACUGCACUCGAUACUGCUCUGCUUGAGGACUGGAGAGGAGACUGGAAUUCACGGUGUAGCAGUGAAAAUGCGUAGAUAUCGUGAGGAAGACCAGUGGCGAAGGCGGGUCUCUGGACAGUUCCUGACGCUGAGGGCGG
rnacentral:rRNA from 1 species